AAGGGAGACCUAAUUCGGGUAUAAGACGAAAAAAGAGUAGUCGAAACCAAGAAUCAAUCCCAAAAGGUCGGAACGAGGUAUGUGGCUUUCAAACUAGGUUCUGGGUUCACACAAGACCUGAAUCAGGAACAAGGGCUAUUAGCUCAGGUGGUUAGAGCGCACCCCUGAUAAGGGUGAGGUCCCUGGUUCGAGUCCAGGAUGGCCCACCCGCACAGGUGGCAAAAACAAAGAAGCGAGGAAUCAGCACCUUAUCUUAUCUAUAUAUAAGAGAGAAUGCUGGCUCUGAGUAAAGAGUCCAGAGGAACCUUGAAAACUGCAUAGAGCUAGGUGAAAAAGCCAAAAAAGAAGACCGCAA
rnacentral:tRNA from 1 species